GACGAACGCUGGCGGCGCGCUUAACACAUGCAAGUCGAACGGAAAGGCCUGCUUUCCCUUGUGGAUUGCGGGUACUCGAGUGGCGAACGGGUGAGUAACACGUGAGUGAUCUGCCCUCAACUUGGGUAUAAGCCUGGGAAACUGGGUCUAAUUCCCGAUAGGACCGCAGGGUGGUGCCUGUGGUGGAAAACGAUUUUCUAGUGGUUGGGGAUGAGCUCGCGGCCUAUCAGCUUGUUGGUGGGGUAAUGGCCUACCAAGGCGGCGACGGGUAGCCGGCCUGAGAGGGUGGACGGCCACAUUGGGACUGAGAUACGGCCCAGACUCCUACGGGAGGCAGCAGUGGGGAAUAUUGCACAAUGGGCGGAAGCCUGAUGCAGCGACGCCGCGUGGGGGAUGACGGCCUUCGGGUUGUAAACUCCUUUCGACCGCGAGGAAGCCACCUGGUUGGAAGGGUGGUGACGGUAGUGGUAGAAGAAGCACCGGCUAACUACGUG
rnacentral:rRNA from 1 species